rnacentral:rRNA from 1 species
GACGAACGCUGGCGGCGUGCUUUACACAUGCAAGUCGAACGGUGAAGGUGGAGCUUGCUCCGCCGGAUCAGUGGCGAACGGGUGAGUAACACGUGGGCAACCUGCCCCUGACUUUGGGAUAACUACUCGAAAGAGUAGCUAAUACCGGAUAUGAAGUCUGUAGGCAUCUAUGGAUUUGGAAAGUUUUUCGGCUAGGGAUGGGCCCGCGGCCUAUCAGCUUGUUGGUGAGGUAGUGGCUCACCAAGGCGACGACGGGUAGCCGGCCUGAGAGGGCGACCGGCCACACUGGGACUGAGACACGGCCCAGACUCCUACGGGAGGCAGCAGUGGGGAAUAUUGCGCAAUGGGCGAAAGCCUGACGCAGCAACGCCGCGUGCGGGAUGAAGGCCUUCGGGUUGUAAACCGCUUUCAGCAGGGAAGAAGCGAAAGUGACGGUACCUGCAGAAGAAGCACCGGCUAACUACGUGCCAGCCGCCGCCGUAA